UUAGCCUCCUGUUUGUACAGACAGCCUAGAUUCCCAGUAAUUGCCUGAGAAUGAGGAAGGAGUCAGGAAUGAGUCAUCCUCUGCCCAAGCAGGUGGCAGUGGGCACACCUGAAGAAACAAGGUCCAGGAGCAAUCAGCACAACUUAUGACUCCAGAGGAAGCAGUCCAGAGACAGAGCACCAUGACUUCUGAGAGAGGUCCUUCCACUGGCGAUCCCACUCUGAGAGGACAGUCCAGUUUAUCUGCCGAGGAUUCCUCUUGGAAAGCAACGCUGACUCGCAUUUUGCAUUAAGAAACUGGAAAACCUUCCUGUCGGCAUAGCGCCUCCCAUGUCCGGGGUAGAUCUUGUACCCGCUGAAACCGCACAGCUCGACCUUCAUGGCGGCGGCUCCAAGGGAGGAGAAACGAUGGCAAAGAGCUAGAAUUUCUUUUUUUCUUUCUUUCUUUUUUUUUUUUGAGAUGGAGUUUUGCUCUUGUUACCCAGGCUGGAGGGCAGUGGCUCGAUCUCGGCUCACCGCAACCUCCGCCUCCUGGGUUCAGGAGAAGAAUUGAACCAUGGGAAUUUUACAUCUCCUAUGACCCCAAAGAACUUUGUAAAGAGACCUGUCUGCUCUACGAAAUCAAGUGGGGCAUGAGCUGGAAGAUCUGGAGAAGUUCAGGCAAAAACACCACCAAUCAUGUGGAAAUUAAUUUUAUAGAAAAAUUUACGUCAGAAAGACAUUUUCACUUGUCCGUCAGCUGCUCCAUCACCUGGUUCUUGUCCUGGAGUCCCUGCUGGGAAUGCUCCCAGGCUAUCAGAGAGUUUCUGAGUCAGCACCCUGGUGUGACUUUGGUGAUUUAUGUAGCGAGGCUUUUUCAGCACAUGGAUCAACAAAACCGGCAAGGACUCAGGGACCUUGUUAACAGUGGAGUCACUAUUCAGAUGAUGACAGUAUCAGAGUAUUAUCACUGCUGGAGGAAUUUUGUCAACUACCCACCUGGGGAAGAAGCUCACUGGCCACGACAUCCCCCUCUGUGGCUGAUGCUGUAUGCACUGGAGCUGCACUGCAUAAUUCUAGGUCUUCCACCUUGUUUAAAGAUUUCAAGAAGACGGCAAAAUCGACUUACAUUUUUCAGACUUCAUCUUCAAAACUGCCAUUACCAAAUGAUUCCACGACACAUCCUUCUAGCUACAGGGCUGAUCCAGCCUUCUGUGACUUGGAGAUGAACAGAGUGAUUCCAUGUGUGUCCUGAUUCAAGAACAAGCAAUGAUGACCCACUAAAGGGUGAAUGCCAUUUAGAAUCUGAAAUGUUCACAAGGAGGUUGCAGUCAAGAUGGCAGCCAGGGCUGCAGUCAUUUGAAGGCUGGAGCAUGAGGCCUAGGUGGCGGGCUCAGAUGACCGUAGAGACGGGGUUUCUUCAUGUUGGUCAGGCUGGUCUUGAACUCCCAACCUCAGGUGAUCUACCUGCCUCAGUCUCCCAAAGAUGUAAGUUGCUUUUUUAAUUUUGGGGGACUAUUCUCUGUACGCCUGCUCCAUAUGAUUGCUAAAAGAGCUGGGUUGAUCUUACAAUGUGUGCAAAGUUUUAGUAAAAAUGCCAUGCUCCUGUACAAAAGAAAAUGAGUUGCUCUUCUCUUUAAUGUCCUGAGGUUAGAAAAGUUUCAGUGUUUCAGAGUGGUGCACCCCAGAGGGGUGCCAGCGGAAGAUAACCUGUUACCCAUCUAGAAAGAGAAGCAAGAAUAAAAGUGUUCUUUCAGUCUCCUUCCUUUCUGUAUGACCCAGGAUGGAAAGUAAGACAGUGGAGCACCCUCCUGUUUUACUUUCCUGGUUCCUGGGACCUGGCACCCUGUUAAAUGUACCACCCAUAGUUGUAAGCACAAUCCUCCAAGCCAUGGGACCAACCGGAUGAACUACAUGAUGGGACUAACCACGCUUUUCCCACGCAACCUUAGCUCAUCUGCCUUGUGUGAUUCCCUUUGACUUUCUAGACCUAUGUGAUCUGCCUGGCUCCCUGAAAAAUGGAUCCUCGGAGAGACCCUGUUGUCUUUGGGCAAAUCUCCUUUAAUGGAGGCAGAGUGCUAGACUGUUUGCUAUUAUGGCUUGUGCGAAAGCAUUUACCCUCAAAAAAAUGGUUCUGGUUAACUUCCAAAGUUAAAAUCUCCUUACUAUUUAAAUACCAUUUUAACAGGAAACAGACUAGGUGUCUUUAAAGAAAGUAGGAACUGGAUAGCCAUUUUCCUGCUUAUGGGACAAUAUCAAGACUAAAAUUUGGCAGCAGAGGGCUUAUUCCUUAAAAAAAAAUUUUUUUUUAAAGACAAAGUCUCACUCUGUUGCCCAGGCUGGACUGCAGUGGUGCGAUCUCAGCUCACUGCGACCUCCAUUUCCAGGAUUCAAGCAAUUCUCCUGCCUCAGCCUCCCAAGCAGCUGGGACUACAGGUGUGCACCACCAUGCCCAGCUAGUUUUUGUGUUUUUAGUAGACACGGGCUUUCAUCAUAUUGGCCAGGCUGGUCUCGAACUCCUGGCCUCAUGAGCCACCCGCUUCCGCCUCCCAAAGUGCUGGGAAUACAGACAUGAACCACCACACCCGGCCGAGGACAUAUUACUUCUAACUGCGGAAGCCAGAACUUUCCUGUUCACAGAAGUAGCCUGGAGCCUGAUUUCUAGUGGUGUAAAAGGAAGCUCGGUGUCACGUUAAAAAAAUGUGCCUCCUGCCGGGUGUGGUAGCUCACCCUUAUAAUCCCAGCACUUUGGAAGGCUGAGGCGGGUGGAUCACGAGGUCAGGAGUUCAAGACCAGCCUGACCAACACGAAGAAAGCCCUUCUUCACUAAAAAUACAGUCAGCUGGGCGUGGUGGCGCAUGCCUGUAAUCCCAGCAACUCGGGAGGCUGAGGCAGGAGAAUCGCUUGAACCUGGAAGGCGGUGGUUGUGGUGAGCCAAGGUCACGCCUUUGUACUCCAUCCCAGGCAACUAAAGCAAAAUUCUGACUUCACUGGGGAGAAAAAAAAAAAAAGGUGUCUCCUGAAGGGGAUUUAUACUUCCACUAGGUGGCGCUCUUGGCUUAGAAAUACCAGCAAUCAUCAGCAAAACCAUACAGAGAGCUUAUUGAGUUACUGCCCGCUGUGUUUGCCCAUCUUUCCAGACAGACCUGUUUCCCUGAACUGUAAAAAUCCCCGCACACAGAGAGAGUAAGAGACUGUGGAUAGAGAAAGAAGGAAAGUUUUGCAACAGGAUAGUAGGAAGAGGGCCUUAGAUUAAAGGACAGAUUUGACAUUGAGGUUUGCUCCAUAGUCACCACUCCAAUGAAUGAAAUUCCUGGCCAAUGCACCAAAAUGAUAAGGCUCCUAUAAAUGGAGGAACAGCAGGGUCCUUGGUCUCGCGUUGAUUUAAACUGAUAUGGAUACAUGUGGACUGGUUUUAAGGAGUGGAGAGUUUAAUAAGCAAGAAAGAAAGAACCUCCCCAGUAGGCAGAGGGAGGGGGGCUCCGAGAGAGAAACCCCGUGUGUGGUGGAGAAAUAGUUGGUCAUAUUAGGAGGCUGGAGGGGGCAGUGUCUAAUUUGCAUAGGGCCCAGGAGAUUGGUUUGAUCAAAUGUAUCAUUCAUGUGGCCCGUGAAAAACCUGGCACUCCCACCUUAGUCCUUUAAUAUGCAAAUGUGGGCCACCAUAAUAUCCUGAAUACAUGUGAGUUAUCUGGAAAUAGCCAUGACACUGGCACAUGUGGUGACAAGGAAAAGAGGGCGGUACUUGCCAUGUUGGCCGUGUUGGGUGGAUCUAGUAUCUAACCCUUGGCGUUUGCAUAUCAAACUUGCUGGCCUGGUGUUUCAAGCUCCUUUCUGUUAGAAAAGAAAUGGUUUGGGGGUUGCUUCCUACUGCAGGAAAAUUUCCACUGAGAACCUUUACCCUUUCUAGCUGCCUAAACAUUUCUUUUCCUAUCUUUUUUUAUUUCAGACAGAGUUUCGCUGUUGUUACCCAGGCUGGAGUGCAGUGGCGCCAUCUCGGCUCACCGCAACCUCUGCCUCCUGGGUUCAAGCAAUUCUCCUGCCUCAGCCUCCUGAGUAGCUGGAACUACAGGCACGCGCCACCAUGCCCAGCUAAUUUUUGUAUUUUUAGUAGAGAUGGGGUUUUACCAUAUUGACCAGGAUGGUAUCGAUCUCUUGACCUCAUGAUCCACCCACCUCGGCCUCCCAAAGUGCUGGGAUUAUAAGUGUGAGCCACCGUGCCCGGGCACCUUUUUUUUUUUUUUGAGAUAGAGUUUUGCUCUCGUUGCCCAAGCUGGAGUGCAAUGGCAUGAUGUCGGCUCACCGCAAUCUCGCCUCCGGGAUUCAAGAUAUUCUCCUGCCUCAGUCUCACGAGUACCUGGGAUUACAGGCAUAUGCCACCACCCCUGGCUAAUUUUGUAUUUUUAGUAGUAGAGAUGGGGUUUCUCCAUAUUGGUCAGGCUGGUCUGGAACUUCCAACCUUGGUGAUCCACCCGCCUUGGCCUCCCAAAGUGCUGGGAUUACAGGCGUGAGCCACUGUACCUGGCUAAAAAUUACUUCUUAAUUACUCCUGUAUUAUUUGGAGGUGUUUGGGUCAUGUGAGCAGAUCCCUCAUGAAGUAAUGAGUUCUCACCCUGUUGGUUCACACAAGAGCUUGUUGUUUAAAGAAGUCUGGCAUCUCUCUUCUGCCACUCUCACCACGUGGCACACUGUCUCCCCUUUGCUCUCCACUGUGAUUGUCAGCUUCCUGCAGCCCUCAUCAGAAGCAGAUGCUGGCACUAUGCUUCAUGCACAGCCUGUAGAACUCUAAGUCAAUUUAACCCCUUUUCUUUAUAAAUUACACAGCCUCAGGUAUUCUUUUGUAGCAAUGCAAGCAGACCUAACCCAAAGCUCAUUAUAUAUUUACAGUAGAAAUGGACGUUGAUACAUGAGCAUAUUUUAUACGAGCCACUAUAACUCUUGCUAUUCUUAUAGGAGUAAAAUUAUUUGGCUGAUUAACAAACUUUCACAGAGAAAAUAGCAAAUGGUCACUAGCUGUACUAUCAAGUUUAGGCUUUUUUUUUCUUAUUACAGUUGGAGGCGCAACAGAAAUUGUAUCAGCUAAGUUAUGAUUUGAUAUCAACCUCCAUGACAUUGUAGCAAACCAAAGUAAAGCCAAGUAAAGUCCAGUAAAAGAAAGUAAAUCAGAGUAAAAGGCUAGAGUGUGGGAAGCAGUGAAUCCUAUUUUAGAUGGACUUGCCAAGGAUAUUGGUAAUUUUUUUUUUUUUUUUUGAGAUGGAGUUUCGCUGUUGUUACCCAGGCCGCAGUGCUAUGGCAGGAUCUUGGCUCACCACAACCUCCACCUCCUGGGUUCAAGCAAUUCUCCUGCCUCAGCCUCCCGAGUAGCUGGGACUACAAGCGCACACCACCAUGCCCAGCUGAUUUUUGUAUUUUUAGUAGAGAUGGGGUUUUGCCUUGUUGACCAGGAUGGUCUCGAUCUCUUGACCUCGUGAUCCACCCGCCUCGACCUCCCAAAGUGCUGGGAUUAUAGGCAUGAGCCACCGCGCCGGCCCAGAUAUUGGUAAUUUUUAAAUGAAGACCCAAAUGAAAUAAAUGAGAAGGCCAUGUGGAAAUCUGGAGGAAGAUUAUUUCACACAGAUGAAACAGAAGGUGCAGACAUACCAAGUUUUUUCAUAUUAAAAAAACUUGGCAUUUUUUAAGGAAUAAAGAUGUGGUUAGCUUGGAAUUAAUGAAGUGAGAAAAUGUAGGGAUUGUGGAAUUAUCCAACACCCUUGGCACUGAUCACUCCCACCAGGACCUGAGCUUAGGGCAACUCAACCAGCCAACACCACCACAACUGACAUCUAUUUUACAUUAGCCCAAAGGUGAAGCCCUUCGCCCUCUCUACGUGAAGCAGCAGCAUUACCACAUCAGAGAAUAGCUGGACCAUAAAGCGUCUGUACUGGGCUGAGUGGAGAGGUUCUGUCCUGAAACCACUCCUGUGGAGAGCCAUGGGACAGGUGUUAUCUGUGACUCUCAGCUACACUGUGGCCUGGAGGUAGACAACGAUGUACAUCUGAGCUCCGAGUCAUGCGCCCUGGGACUGGGGCUUAACAGGGAAACAGAGCACACUGUUGUCUAACUAGGAUGUGGAGCUGAUGCAGCCUCUCACUCCCCCAACACCUGCAGAGACCUCAGUGCAUUUCACAAGGAGCUCCUUUAGCGACUCCUGUCAGGGCUGGUGUCUGCUCAUCACCGGCAUAUUCAUGGGCAAGCCAGGGAGUCCAGCUGUGUCUCCCCAAUCCCUGCUAAACAGGAAGCUCAGGGAACCAGGCAUUGCAUUUUCCAGCCCAACACUAUAGGCAACAGAGAGCACCUCACAGUAAAGAAAUAUCGAGUACACACCUGUCUGCUUGUGCCCCAGUUGGCUAUUACCCAUACGCACCAUCUACUGGCCUGCAGGUCAAACUGCACAGUCCAAUAUAAAACCUGCAGAGAAAAGGGCACCUGGCUAUGUAUAGAAGCAAAGCCAAAAGACCCUACCCUACAUAUCACAGUCACACCCCCCCAAAAAAGGAAAAAUAGUUUAAAAAACUCCCAUCAAAAUAAAAAUAAAAUUUAAAAAUAAGGAGUGUUGGCCGGGUGUGGUGGCUCAUACCUGUAAUUCCAGCACUUUGGGAGAUCCAGGCGGGCAGAUCAUGAGGUCAGGGGUUUGAGACCAGCUGGGCCAACAUAGUGAAACCCUGUCUCUAUUAAAAAUACAAAAAAUUAACUGGGCAUGGUGGUGGGUGCCUGUAAUCCCAGCUACUUGGGAAGCUGAGGCAGCAGAAUCUCUUGAACUCAGGAGGUAGAGGUUGCAGUGAGCCAAAUUAUACCACUGCACGCCAGCCUGAGUGACAGUGCGAGACUCCAUCUCAAAAAAAAAAAAAAGGAGCGUCAGCUUUUCCAAAUGGGAAGAAACCAGAGUAAGAAUUCUGGCACCACAAAGAACCUGAAUCCUGUGACACCACCUAAGGAUCAAUAGACCUUAACCAAGAUGAAAACUCAGAAAUGACAGAUAAAGAGUACAAAGUAUAAAUUGCAAGGAAGCUCACCAAGAUCCAAGAGAGGCUGAAAAACAACACAAAGAAACCAGGAAAGUGAUCCAGGAGAUAAAGAAAGACAUUGAUUUCUCUAAGAAAAAUUUGCUUAAAGAACUUCAAAAUAGAGGAGCAAGGUGUGGUGGCUCACGCCUAUAAUCCCAGCACUUUGGGAGGUUGAGGUGGGUGGAUCACAAGUUCAGGAGUUUGAGACCAGCCUGGCCACUAUGGUGAAACCCCAUCUCUACUAAAAAUACAAAAAUUAGCUGGGCACGGUGGUAGGUGCCUGUAGUCCCAGCUACUUGGAAGGCAGGAGAAUCGCUUGAACCCGGGAGGCAGAGGUUACAGUGAGCCAAGAUCAUGCCACUGCACUCCAGCCUGGGUGACAGAGCGAGACUUCGAAGGAAAAUAAAAAGAAUUUCAAAAUAGAUUUGAAAGCUUUAAUAAUAGAUUAAAUCAAGCAGAAGGAAGAAUUUCAGAGCUUGCAGGCUGCUCUUUCAAAUUAGCCUGGUUAAAAAUAAAGAAAGGAGCUUUUUGAAAAAUGAACAAAGCCUUCAAGAAAUAUGGGAUUAUGUAAAGCAAACCAAAGCUGUGACUUAUAGUCAUUCUUGGGAGAGAAGAAGAAAAAGUAAGCAACCUAGAAAGCAUAUUUAAGGGAAUAAUUCAGAAAAAAUUAUUAAAUCUUACCAGAGAAGUAAACUUCUAGAUACAAGAAAGUCAGAAUACCUGCAAAACACUAUACAAAGGCAUGUAACUAUUGGACUAUCCAAGGUCAACACUAAAAAAAUAAAAAUCAUAAAAGCAGCUAGAGAAAAGGGGUCAAAUCAUCUAUAAAGGAAAACCUGUCAGACUAAUAACAAACUUCUCACGAGAAUCCCUACGAGCCAGCAGAGACUGGGGGGCUAUUUUUAGCUUCCCUAAAUAAUAAUUAAAAAAAUGCAGCCCAAAAUUUUGUAUACUGUUGAACUAAGCUUCAUAAAUUAAGAAAAACAAAUUCUUUCCCAGACAAGCAAAUCUAAGAGAAUUUGUCACCUCUAAAAAAAAAAAAAUGCUUAAAGGACUUCUAAAUAUAGCAAAGAAAGGACAAUAGUUAUCAUAAAAGGACCCUUAAGUACAGAGCUCCCAUUGCCGUAAAGAAACUAUGCAAUAGAAACUCCGAAACAACUAGCUAACGACAAUAUAAUGGGAAUAAAACCUCACGUAUCAAUAUUAACCUUAAAUGUAAAUGGGCUUAAAAGCUCCACCUAAGACACACAGAGUGGCACAUUGGAUAAAAAGCAAGGCCUAACUGCCUGCUGCUUAUAAGAGACCACCUACUGGCUAGAGACAUCCUCCAGACUCAAGGUAAAUGGAUGAAAAAAGAUAUAUAAUGAAAAUGGAAAACAAAAGUAUGCAGGAGUAGCCAUUUCCAUAUCAGAUAAUACAGACUUUAAACCAACAGUAGUUUUU